GGACUUCUCUAGCAAUCGGACUCCUAUCGGACUUCACCAAUGAAAAAUCUCCAUCCGAGCUUCUACAGCAGAUGACUCCCACCUGUAGCAUCAGCGCCUGAGGUGUCCGACAAUAGUAGACUCAUCAGCAGCCUCAGAAACAUCCGAGCUUCUCCUAGAUCGAUGGGAUAGAGAGCCAUUCCACUCCAUCAGACAUGCC
rnacentral:lncRNA from 1 species